rnacentral:rRNA from 1 species
UGGGGAAUAUUGGACAAUGGGCGAAAGCCUGAUCCAGCCAUGCCGCGUGAGUGAUGAAGGCCCUAGGGUUGUAAAGCUCUUUUGUGCGGGAAGAUAAUGACGGUACCGCAAGAAUAAGCCCCGGCUAACUUCGCGCCAGCAGCCGCGGUAAUACGAAGGGGGCUAGCGUUGCUCGGAAUCACUGGGCGUAAAGGGUGCGUAGGCGGGUUUCUAAGUCAGAGGUGAAAGCCUGGAGCUCAACUCCAGAACUGCCUUUGAUACUGGAAGUCUUGAGUUCGGGAGAGGUGAGUGGAACUGCGAGUGUAGAGGUGAAAUUCGUAGAUAUUCGCAAGAACACCAGUGGCGAAGGCGGCUCACUGACCCGAUACUGACGCUGAGGCACGAAAGCGUGGGGAGCAAACA